AUUGAACGCUGGCGGCAUGCCUUACACAUGCAAGUCGAACGGUAACAGGUCUUCGGAUGCUGACGAGUGGCGAACGGGUGAGUAAUACAUCGGAACGUGCCUAGUAGCGGGGGAUAACUACUCGAAAGAGUGGCUAAUACCGCAUGAGAUCUACGGAUGAAAGCAGGGGAUCGCAAGAACUUGUGCUACUAGAGCGGCCGAUGGCAGAUUAGGUAGUUGGUGGGAUAAAAGCUUACCAAGCCGACGAUCUGUAGCUGGUCUGAGAGGACGAUCAGCCACACUGGGACUGGGACACGGCCCAGACUCCUACGGGAGGCAGCAGUGGGGAAUUUUGGACAAUGGGCGCAAGCCUGAUCCAGCAAUGCCGCGUGCAGGAUGAAGGCCUUCGGGUUGUAAACUGCUUUUGUACGGAACGAAAAGCCCUGGGUUAAUACCCUGGGGUCAUGACGGUACCGUAAGAAUAAGCACCGGCUAACUACGUGCCAGCCGCCGCCGUAAGAC
rnacentral:rRNA from 1 species